rnacentral:rRNA from 1 species
AUACGUAGGGGGCGAGCGUUGUCCGGAAUGAUUGGGCGUAAAGGGCGCGUAGGCGGCCCGGUAAGUCUGGAGUGAAAGUCCUGUUUUUAAGAUGGGAAUUGCUUUGGAUACUGUCGGGCUUGAGUGCAGGAGAGGUAAGUGGAAUUCCCAGUGUAGCGGUGAAAUGCUUAGAGAUUACACAGAACACCGAUUGCGAAGGCAUCUCACGAAGGGUUGAUUGACGCUGAGGCACGAAAGCGUGGGGAUCAAACAGGAUUAGAUACCCUGGUAGUCCACGCAGUAAACGAUGAUGGCUAACCGCUGGGCUUAUCAGUUCAGUGGCCAAGCGAAAGCGAUAAGCCAUCCACCUGGGGAGUACGACCGCAAGGUUGAAACUCAAAGGAAUUGACGGGG